ACGUAUACAGCAGCACGAAAUCGUCGACGAAGCUGAGGGCGAAUGAACGAGCGGCCGCGUUGCUUCGCCUUUUAAGCCGGUGAAGACAUCAUCUGCGCGCCAAUCAAAUGCCGAGAUGGCGAAGUAUGGAAAAUUUUCAUCUUCAGUUCUCCCAACGUGCACACGUGCAUGCAUGCGCCCACGUUACUGUGGCGAGUAAAACGUAGAUAACUCGUGGUUAUACUGCUUAUUGGACUGCCUACCGUUUCUUGCAUCUCGUUUAUCCAUGAUAUCGGCAAUAAAGAAAACUGCACGGCCGUUUACUCUUGCUGGACGUCUCCGCAGUGGGUAUGCGCCACAGUUUCUAUCAUGUCAUUCAUUACGUCGAUCGUUUUUCCGCGUAAGUACCCGGCACGCUUUAAGUAAAGAUCUCAAAUGAAACAGUUUAAACUGGUAAAACGUUCUUUCAAAGCUCAACGUUUAUACAUUAAAAUUAAGGCCCAAUGUCACUUUUUGAAUUUCGCGCCAAUACAACAGCUUGACGUCACCGUAAAAAAAUUCUAGAAACUAGCGGUUGAACUAGUUGAAUGUUUGGUUGGUUUGCAACGCAUUGCUGUCCUACUUUACCGAUAAUAAAGCCCGAUUAAAAUAAACGGUGUCAAAGUCACGAGUAUUCGGGGAACGGCGCGAACUUCAGGAGCUUCAAGCGGCGGAAUCCACACCCGUCCUUCGUUAUCGCGCCGUUUCUGGCUGGCCGAGCCUCCUUUCACGGUAAUAUCGUAAUAUUAAGAGCUGCCACUUUGCUGUUGAAGAAGUGCAGUUUACUAAUACAGCCUAACUCUAUCAGUAUUCACCUUCAACGAAACUAACGUGGCACUUGC